rnacentral:ncRNA from 1 species
CGCUGUAUCUAUGCGUGGUGUCGAUGGUUUUAAUAAACGCAUAUUGAGGAAAAGACUAUGGCACUAAGUGCUCAAGAAAAAGCAGCUAUCGUUGCAGAUUACCAGCAAGCAGA